rnacentral:rRNA from 1 species
CUGGGUUGAUCCCGCCAGUAGCAUAUGCUUGUCUCAAGGAUAGAGCCAUACAUGUGUACGUACACAAGGCCGGUACAGUGACACUGUGAAUAGCUCAUUUAGUUAGUGAUAGUUCCUUUGAAGGCUCCAUCUGUGGUAAAUCUACAGUAAAUACAAGCUGAAAACUGCUGACCUACCGGGAUGCGUACAUUUAUCAGACCAAGACCAUACCAGGCUCAUACAGCUACCUUGGUGACUCUACUUAAGCUUGGGAAGAUUGGACAUCCCCAUGAAAGCAAUGAUACAUUUUGAUGUCUGCCCUAUCAACUUCUGAUGGUACUUCCUGUGCCUAACAUGGCAAUCACAGGUAACAGGGAAUCAGGAUUCAAUUCCACAGAGGAAGCCUGAGAAACGGCUACCAUAUCCAGGGAAUGCAGCAGGCGCACAAAUUACCCAUACCGACUCGGGAAGGUAGAGACGGAAAUGAAUAAUACUGGAUUCUUUUAUAGCCCUGUAAUUGGAAUGUAAACACUUUAAAUCCUUUAAAGAGAAUUCAAUGGAGGGCAAGGCUGAUGCCAGCAUCCACCGUAAUUGCAGUUCCAAUCGCGUAUAUUAAAGUUGCUGCACUUAAAAAGAUUGUAGUUGGAUUGUGUGGUCGUGCUGGCAGUCUGUCAUGAGGAGUGUUAAAUACCAGCCCAUGCCUCUCAACACCCUCUUGAUGCUCUUGACUUAAUGUCCUGAGUGCCUGACAUGGUUUAUUUUGAAAACAUUUGAGUGUUCAAGCAGGCCAGUAGCCUGAAUAAUUCAGCUAGGAAUGAUGGAAUAGGACUCCAGUUCUAUUCUGUUUGUUUUUGGAACUGGGGCCAUGAUUAAGAGGGACAACCGGUGAAAGUGUAGGUAGAGGUGAUAUUCUUGGACCGUCGUACUUCCAACCAUAAACAAUGCCAACAAGUGAUCUGUCAGUGUCUUUGGGUUCCAGGGGGAGUAUGGUUUCAAUGCUGAAACUUGAAGGAAUUGAUUUAAAGGCUCCACUGGGAUUGGAGCAUGUUGCUAAAUUUGACUCAACAUGGGAAACUUCACCCCGCCUGGCCACGGAAAUACUUGACAGAUUGAUAGCUCUUUCUCGAUUCUGUGCGUGAUGGUGCCUUUCUUCAUUGUGGAUCGAUUGUCUGGCUAAUUCUGAUAACGAACAAGACUAACUAACUACUUAUGCAAACCCCAGUGGUCGGCGUUCAACUUUUAAGAGGGACAAGGGGCAUUCUGCCACACAAGAACGAGCAAUAACAGGUCUGUGAUGCCCUUAGAUUUCCAGUGUUGAAAGCAUGCUACACUGAAUGGAUCAGUGCGUGUGUAUCCUACGCUAAAAGGUGUGGGUGACCUGCUGAACCCCAUUCAUGACACGGAUUAGCAAAUGCAAUUAUUUCCCAUGAAGGAGGAAUUCCCAGUAAGUGUGGAUCAUUGGCUCACUUUGAUUAAGUCUCUGCACUUUGUACACACCACCCAUCGCUACUAUUGAUUGCAUGCUUCAGUGAGGUCCUCAGAUCAGACCCAUGGGGGUCAGCAAUGGCCCUGGCAGAGCACCAAGAAACGUAUCAAAGUUGAGGAACUAGGAGUAGUAAUGAGGUUCCAUAAGUGAGCCUGCAGAAG